AGUGAACGCUGGCGGUAGGCCUAACACAUGCAAGUCGAACGGCAGCACAGUAAGAGCUUGCUCUUACGGGUGGCGAGUGGCGGACGGGUGAGGAAUACAUCGGAAUCUACUUUUUCGUGGGGGAUAACGUAGGGAAACUUACGCUAAUACCGCAUACGACCUACGGGUGAAAGCAGGGGAUCUUCGGACCUUGCGCGAUUGAAUGAGCCGAUGUCGGAUUAGCUAGUUGGCGGGGUAAAGGCCCACCAAGGCGACGAUCCGUAGCUGAUCUGAGAGGAUGAUCAGCCACACUGGAACUGAGACACGGUCCAGACUCCCACGGGAGGCAGCAGUAGGGAAUAUUGGACAAAGGGCGCAAGCCUGAUCCAGCCAUACCGCGUGAGUGAAGAAGGCCUUCGGGUUGUAAAGCCCUUUUGUUGGGAAAGAAAAGCAGCAGGUUAAUACCCCGCUGUUCUGACGGUACCCAAAGAAUAAGCACCGGCUAACUUCGUG
rnacentral:rRNA from 1 species